UACGGAGGGGACUAGCGUUGUUCGGAAUUACUGGGCGUAAAGCGCACGUAGGCGGAUUUGUAAGUCAGGGGUGAAAUCCCGGGGCUCAACCUCGGAACUGCCUUUGAUACUGCAAAUCUCGAGUCCGGAAGAGGUGAGUGGAAUUCCUAGUGUAGAGGUGAAAUUCGUAGAUAUUAGGAAGAAUACCAGUGGCGAAGGCAGCCAUCUGGACCGACACUGACGCUGAGGCGCGAAAGCGUGGGGAGCAAACGGG
rnacentral:rRNA from 1 species